rnacentral:rRNA from 1 species
UACGGGGGGAGCAAGCGUUGUUCGGAUUUACUGGGCGUAAAGGGCGCGUAGGCGGUCAGCACAAGUCAGUUGUGAAAUCUCCGAGCUUAACUCGGAAAGGUCAACUGAUACUGUGCGACUAGAGUGCAGAAGGGGCAACUGGAAUUCUUGGUGUAGCGGUGAAAUGCGUAGAUAUCAAGAGGAACACCUGCGGCGAAGGCGGGUUGCUGGGCUGACACUGGCGCUGAAGCGCGAAAGCCAGGGGAGCGAACGGG